GAGAAGUUGGUAUGCGCUUGGUGUUUGUUUUAUUAAUGAAGAUCUUUAUGUGAAAGACUUAUUGGGUAUCCUAGGAAAUGGCAGAUGGCCCCGGUACAUAGAGAACUUUACCAUGAAUGUUAUCUCAGUCGAACGAGACUGAUAAGUCCCAUACCGGACGGGUUUAGAAAAUAUAAUUCACUCUGAUACCGGACAAAGUAUCGAGACAUGAAAGAUUUGGUGCCUAUUACUAGAUGAGAUAUGAGGACGACCAGUUAAUUAAUAAAUUUGGAUAUUUUGUUUACUAAUAAGGGGACAUCCUUAUGGAUCCUUAGGAAUAUCAAUAAGCAAGUAAGAAAGGAAAAUUGUUAUUUUUUGUUUACUUUUGUAUGAAAUUAAAAAGUUGUAUGGAUAUUGGUUUUCAUAUUUUGACUUUUGAAAAACUCAUAACGGUAAAUAUGGAACAAACAGUUUUUUUCAUGAUAAAUAAAUUUACUUAAAUUAAGGGUUUCAUUAGUUAUUUUGUAAUUUUUACCAACUUUUGCUUUCCGUAUCAGUGAUUAGUGUGAUAUUCUUACUGGACUAAUGAAGUUCAGAAUUCUAUUAACCAUUUCAGAUGAAGAAAACCAAGAUCCAGAUCCCGAUCAGCAAGAGGGUUAUGAGUAAUUCACCUUCCAAACUCCUUUCAAGUGUUAGUUGAAGAUUAUUUUAGCAUGCUUAUUUAUUCGCAUUUUCUUUAAUUAUCGUUUGUCUUUUAGAAGAAAAAUUCUCAUAACCCUGUUGGGCAAUAUAAUUUACUGUGU
rnacentral:lncRNA from 1 species